GGGCUACUCCUACGGGAGGCAGCAGUAAGGAAUAUUGGGCAAUGGACGCAAGUCUGACCCAGCCAUGCCGCGUGGAGGAUGAAGGUCCUCUGGAUUGUAAACUUCUUUAUCUGGAAGAAACCCAAGUAUCUCUAUUGUGGUUGACGGUACCAUAUGAAUAAGCACCGGCUAACUCCGUGCCAGCAGCCGCGGUAAUACCGG
rnacentral:rRNA from 1 species